AGGACCUGAGGAAAGUACUGUGUGAAAGACCAGAUUCCUCUGAAAGUGGGUGAAUCAAGAUGUGAUAAUGGUCUGAUUUUUCUUUUCUGUUAAGAAUCAAUUCUUGAUGCUGAGUUUGAUUGAAGAAAUAACUAUGGAAUUUAUGGUGCUAAAGCAAAGAAAAACCACUGACUCUUCAAGAGAAUUGACUAAAGUUUUUAAGCAGAAGCCAGAACAGUAUUCACACAUCAUGAAAGGAUACAGUACAUUUGUGGAGUUCCAUAUCAGUUAGGAUCUGGAGCAUCACACUGAAGAUCCCAUGACCUGUGAUUGAGUAGAAGAUCAACACCCAAGAUAGAAAAUGGACUUUUGAUAGCCUGAAUGGCCUCUGGUCAUAU